CCUACGGGAGGCAGCAGUGGGGGAUAUUGGACAAUGGGGGAAACCCUGAUCCAGCGACGCCGCGUGAGUGAAGAAGUAUUUCGGUAUGUAAAGCUCUGUCAGCAGGGAAGAAAGUAAUGACGGUACCUGACCAAGAAGCCCCCGCUAACUACCUGCCAGCAGCCGCGGUAAUACGUAGGGGGCAAGCGUUAUCCGGAAUUACUGGGUGUAAAGGGAGCGUAGACGGUGAUUCAAGUCUGGAGUGAAAGCCGGUGGCUUAACCGCCGAACUGCUUUGGAAACGGGGUAACUUGAGUGCAGGAGAGGUAAGCGGAAUUCCUAGUGUAGCGGUGAAAUGCGUAGAUAUUAGGAGGAACACCAGUGGCGAAGGCGGCUGACUGGACUGUAACUGACGUUGAGGCUCGAAAGCGUGGGGAGCAAACAGGAUUAGAUACCCGAGUAGUC
rnacentral:rRNA from 1 species